rnacentral:rRNA from 1 species
UCAAAAACAUGUCCUUUUGAUUUUAUUUAAGGUCUAACCUGCCCAAUGAUUUUAUUUAAUGGCCGCGGUAUUUUAACUGUGCUAAGGUAGCAUAAUCAUUUGUCUUUUAAUUGAAGGCUGGUAUGAAUGGUUGGACGAGGCAUAAUCUUUCUUUAAUUUAAUUUAUGAAUUUAAUUUUUUAGUUAAAAAGCUAAAAUUUUUUUGUUGGACGAGAAGACCCUAUAGAUCUUUAUAAUUAUCAUUUAUUAGAUAAUUUGGUUAAUUUAUUAUUUGAAUAUAAUAUAAUUAUUUGGUUGGGGUGACUAUAGAAUUAUAAUAACUUCUAUUUUUUAUUUUCAUUUAUUUAUGUUUACUUGAUCCAUUAUUAUUGAUUAUAAGAUUAAGUUACCUUAGGGAUAACAGCGUAAUUUCUUUGAAGAGUUCAUAUCGAUAAGGGAGUUUGCGACCUCGAUGUUGGAUUAAAAUAAGUAAUAGAUGCAGUAGUUUAUUAACUAGGUCUGUUCGACCUUUUAUUUUUUACAUGAUCUGAGUU